rnacentral:miRNA from 1 species
AAAGUCUUAUCGACCGGAAGGGAUUCCUUCCGUCGAUGAGGUAAAACACCCUCAUCGGCCGGAAGGGAUUCCUUCCGGUCGAUGAGGUAUU